GGGGCGUGAUGCACUGCCGGGGCCAUUUCGGCGGCUGUGGAGGAAGUACCGGUGCGAAUCCGGCGCGGUCCCGCCACUGUGAGCGGGGAGUGAUCCCCGUGAGUCAGGAACUCCCGGCGCCGAAUCACGUCG
rnacentral:ncRNA from 2 species